UACGUAGGGGGCAAGCGUUGUCCGGAUUUAUUGGGCGUAAAGAGCGUGUAGGCGGCCAGAUAGGUCCGUUGUGAAAACUGGAGGCUUAACCUCCAGACGUCGAUGGAAACCGUAUGGCUAGAGUCCGGAAGAGGAGAGUGGAAUUCCUGGUGUAGCGGUGAAAUGCGCAGAUAUCAGGAGGAACACCAAUGGCGAAGGCAGCACUCUGGGACGUGACUGACGCUGAGACGCGAAAGCGUGGGGAGCAAACAGG
rnacentral:rRNA from 1 species